UGUCCAGGGACAGACCUUACAUGCAGACGGACAAGGGGGGAAAGUAUAAACCAGAGAGAUGUCUGUCUGUCUGUCUCUCUUUGCUUGCUUGCCUUUAUCAGAUCUACCCACGUUUAUACUGAGACAGGAAAGGCCUGGCUUCUCGUCGUCCUGGUAUAGAGGACCAUGCAAGGUGCAAAGCAAAGUGACUCUGCUUGGAUUUAAGAUCAUGCUCCGUUUAGUCUGCAGGGGUUAGAGGUCUGUGCACUAGCACCAGCAAAGCCAGUAUCAAGCCUUGCCAAUAACAGAGGUGUUGAAACAGCAGCGGAGAUCGGAAUGGAGUAAGAAAGUCACCAAGAACAAUAAAUACCAGCCAUCGUGUGGGAACAUGUCUAACGCCGGCGUGUUGCUCACCGUAACUUCAUUAACAAUCAAAAGCAGGACGAUUCCAGAAGCCUUGCAACAGGACGCGGCCAAUAUCAGAUGCCCCAGAGGGAGUGAACAGA